rnacentral:lncRNA from 1 species
CUCAUCUUAUACUGUAACGAAAAUUAUUUUCCCUAUUCUAGUGUUCUAAAGUCAUCGUCUUAUAAAAUGUACUGGAAUUGUGUGAUUCGUCUGACGCCACUCCAGACAUGCUGUUUUGAGAAAGGGAAACUGAUGCCUGAUACACAGUAAAUGGAAUAACUUUCACGUGGGUAUUAUCCAGUUGCAUAAAAUGAAAUGUGACAUAUAAUCAAGCAUUACACGUUUAAUUUAUCAUCUGGGAAAAUUUAUCAUCUGAAUUGUCAGGCCCUGAAAAAAUAAUUAAAAUGCAAGCUUCUUCGGAAAGAUAUUGAAAUUCAUUUCUGAGGCAAAAGAUACGUGUGGGAGAAAAAUAAAAGAUAAAAUUGCUUUCUCAUUCUUUCAUUUUCAAGAAAAUAUAAUUCCUGGAAGAAUGCAGUGUGAUGUGUAAGGAACAACACAACUCUGGAUGGUGUGCUUGAAAAUGUUAUUUCAGCCGCAAUUAGAAAAUAAGAGAACAUUCUGAAAAAUGCACUGAAAAAUAA